rnacentral:rRNA from 1 species
GACGAACGCUGGCGGCGUGCUUAACACAUGCAAGUCGAACGGAAAGGCCCUGCUUUUGUGGGGUGCUCGAGUGGCGAACGGGUGAGUAACACGUGAGUAACCUGCCCUUGACUUUGGGAUAACUUCAGGAAACUGGGGCUAAUACCGGAUAUGAGCUCCUGCUGCAUGGUGGGGGUUGGAAAGUUUCGGCGGUUGGGGAUGGACUCGCGGCUUAUCAGCUUGUUGGUGGGGUAGUGGCUUACCAAGGCUUUGACGGGUAGCCGGCCUGAGAGGGGGACCGGCCACAUUGGGACUGAGAUACGGCCCAGACUCCUACGGGAGGCAGCAGUGGGGAAUAUUGCACAAUGGGCGGAAGCCUGAUGCAGCAACGCCGCGUGCGGGAUGACGGCCUUCGGGUUGUAAACCGCUUUCGCCUGUGACGAAGCGUGAGUGACGGUAAUGGGUAAAGAAGCACCGGCUAACUACGUG